UUCAGUGAACAUAACUAUGCAAUGCAACUGCUUCACUAACUUGUGAACAGAAAUCAAGUUGUGUUUAAAAGAAGGAACUAGUAGUACAUUGUGAAGAGUAAUGGUAGGAGUCAAUGCAAAAGAGCUUGUGCAUGUCACUUUCACUUUAUAGCCAUUAGGAAGAGUGACAAGAUAUGCAGAGUUAAAGGUGUGAUGUUAAAAAGUAAUUGUUUAUCAUGUGUCAUGUGAU
rnacentral:lncRNA from 1 species